AAGCCUUAAAUAUCAAAUGUAUUAUUUUAGGCCAGAUUCGUCUUGAAAUAUCGACACAGUGAUGGCUGCAUUGUGGUAAAGAUGACUGACAACGUAGAGUGCGUUCAGUAUAAAACAGAGAGUGCACAGGACCUUAAGAAGCUUGAGAAGUUAAACAACAUGCUCAUGAGGCACAUGGCAACAAGGGAUACUCAUCACUGAUGCUAACAGAGUUUAUUACAUUACGCCCAUGGAAUUGACAUAACUUGAACAUGUAAUAGUUUGUUCAAGUGGAUAGUUCUCAUGAAUGGACUGUAUAAAAUACAGUCAGGUGUGUAGUGAGGUACUGCACUAUGAUGUGAGAGCAGAAACUUAGAUUGCAGAGUAAUCUAAAAUUGUUCUUCCCCUACAUACAGGGGAAAUACUGCUAACGCCCCCCAUAUCCACAUAAUUACCUAAUUCUGGAUUUAGCAUAAAUUUGUUUAAAUGAAAAUUAUUGCCCAAAAAGUUAUAUACCAAACAAAUAUCAUGGCGUAAGUUGUAAAUUAUGAUGUCUAUUUUGUGUAUGAACAAUUCAUUUGUCUAAUUAUUGUCUAGUUAAACUAUUCUUGAUGCAGAACAGAUGGCGAUAAAUUUAACUUGUAUGGGGAAAGCUUGUUGGUUUUCUUUUGGUAUGUGUGGUCUAUUACAAGUAUUACAUUACGCAGAGUGGUGUUGCUAACGAUUGUACAGCAUUUUUCAUCAAAAUAAAGUGUAUUUUGUUAAUAUUAA